GACGAAGGGGGCUAGCGUUGUUCGGAAUUACUGGGCGUAAAGCGAGUGUAGGUGGUUGUCCAAGUUGGAUGUGAAAGCCUUGAGCUCAACUCAAGAAAUGCAUUCAGGACUGGGCGGCUAGAGGACCGGAGAGGAUAGUGGAAUUCCCAGUGUAGUGGUGAAAUGCGUAGAUAUCAGGAGGAACACCGAUGGCGAAGGCAGGUCUCUGGGCUGACACUGACGCUCAUGCGCGAAAGCGUGGGGAGCAAACAGG
rnacentral:rRNA from 1 species